rnacentral:lncRNA from 1 species
AUGAAGCAGCUUUGUCUGUUUCUCUGCCUUGGUUAGCAAUGCCUUAGUGACAGGGCAGCUCCAGAUGCAUUAGAUCAGCAGCUGAUGCCAUCAUGCGAAUGUCUAACACUUACUUUAGGCAGUAGAAGACUUUCUUCAUUUAAAAUCUUACAGGAAAUCCCUGUGUUCAAAAGGUGCAAAACGUGUCCUAUUUUGAGGCACCCUUGUUUAUCACAGAUUUGUUGUACUCCCCUUUUUUUGCAGUCUUUGAAAUUUCUUUUCUCGUGUUCUGUCACUUAUUUCCCAAAAGCCAUUUGUUAUGUAACAGAUGCAUAUGUGUUCCUGUUUAUAAAUAUUCUACAGUAAGUCAAG